rnacentral:rRNA from 1 species
AGUUUGAUCCUGGCUCAGGAUGAACGCUGGCGGCGUGCUUAACACAUGCAAGUCGAACGAAGCACUUGAAACGGAUUCUUCGGAUGAAGUUUCCUGUGACUGAGUGGCGGACGGGUGAGUAACGCGUGGGUAACCUGCCUCAUACAGGGGGAUAACAGUUAGAAAUGGCUGCUAAUACCGCAUAAGCGCACAGCAUCGCAUGAUGCAGUGUGAAAAACUCCGGUGGUAUGAGAUGGACCCGCGUUGGAUUAGCUAGUUGGCAGGGUAACGGCCUACCAAGGCGACGAUCCAUAGCCGGCCUGAGAGGGUGGACGGCCACAUUGGGACUGAGACACGGCCCAGACUCCUACGGGAGGCAGCAGUGGGGAAUAUUGCACAAUGGGGGAAACCCUGAUGCAGCGACGCCGCGUGAGCGAAGAAGUAUUUCGGUAUGUAAAGCUCUAUCAGCAGGGAAGAAAAUGACGGUACCUGACUAAGAAGCCCCGGCUAACUACGUGCCAGCAGCCGCGGU